rnacentral:lncRNA from 1 species
GGCUGCGCUAUAUUCAAGUGUAUGUGAGCGAACAAUGUUGUUGAAUGGUGUGGCAUUUGAGACCCAUGAUUAUCGCGUUUAUAUGGAUACAUCGGUCCAAAAAUAAAUACAUGUUUGUACUUAGCUGAUCUUUGUAAAGACACCGCAAAAUGAUAUAAAGGAAUCUAGCAACAAAGAGAUACGAAUCCUAGGCAUCCUGAAACAAGACUAAGUAUUUCUUCUGAUGGAGCACAGAGCUAAGACCGUCUUGGGUUCCAGUGUUUCUAGCAAAAGGAAGACUUCAAAACCAAAACAAAAGGGCAAAAAACAAGGAGCAUCGAAGGAUGCUGAGACAAAAUGUAAAUCAAGUCAGAAAAAACCAACCAAGAGUGAAGAUCCACAGCCACAGAAAGUACAGAAGAUAAAGAUAACUUUAGGAAGAAAGAACCUGGUCAGUGGUACCAAGGGCAAGGCCCCAGCCUUCCGGAAGCCUUCAUCCCGGCUGGAGACGAAAGAGGAAAAGCCCAGUCUGGAAACAGAGAAAGGAACGGUGCCAAAGAAAAAACAAAAAAACGACAAGGCAGAAAAUAAGCGCACUGACCAGAAUCUGCUGAAGUCAGCACAAUAUGCAGGUACCAGUUAUGCGUCUAUCAGAAAGUGGAAAAAAACCUUUUUUUUUUUGCAGAUUUCAAGAUGACUACAGUUUUGCGCAUCAGUACAUGAUCUCUUGGUGAACACUUAGCAAAGCUGUCAGUUUUUACUAAUUAAAAAAAUAGGUCCAGAAAUGGUCAUGCCCAG